GACGAACGCUGGCGGCGUGCUUAACACAUGCAAGUCGAACGGUGAAGCACCUUCCUUUUGGUGGGUGUGGAUGAGUGGCGAACGGGUGAGUAACACGUGAGUAACCUGCCCCCUUCUUCUGGAUAACCGCAUGAAAGUGUGGCUAAUACGGGAUAUUCUGGGUCUGUCGCAUGGCGGGCCUGGGAAAGAUAUUGUUUCGGUGGGGGAUGGGCUCGCGGUCUAUCAGCUUGUUGGUGGGGUGAUGGCCUACCAAGGCGGUGACGGGUAGCCGGCCUGAGAGGGUGGACGGUCACACUGGGACGGAGACACGGCCCAGACUCCGACGGGAGGCAGCAGGGGGGAAUAGGGCACAAUGGGCGCAAGCCUGAUGCAGCGACGCCGCGUGAGGGAUGGAGGCCUGCGGGUUGUAAACCUCUUUCGCCAGUGAAGCAGGCCUGUCCCUUGUGUGGGUGGGUUGACGGUAGCUGGAUAAGAAGCGCCGGCUAACUACGUG
rnacentral:rRNA from 1 species